GAUGAACGCUGGCGGCGUGCUUAACACAUGCAAGUCGAACGAAGCGCUUAAGAUUGAUUCUUCGGAUGAUUUCUUUUGUGACUUAGUGGCGGACGGGUGAGUAACGCGUGGGUAACCUGCCUCACACAGGGGGAUAACAGUUAGAAAUGACUGCUAAUACCGCAUAACCCGAUAGGAUCGCAUGAUCCAGACGGAAAAGAUUUAUCGGUGGGAGAUGGACCCGCGUCUGAUUAGCUAGUUGGUGAGGUAACGGCCCACCAAGGCGACGAUCAGUAGCCGGCCUGAGAGGGUGAACGGCCACAUUGGGACUGAGACACGGCCCAAACUCCUACGGGAGGCAGCAGUGGGGAAUAUUGCACAAUGGGGGAAACCCUGAUGCAGCGACGCCGCGUGAGUGAAGAAGUAUUUCGGUAUGUAAAGCUCUAUCAGCAGGGAAGAAAAUGACGGUACCUGACUAAGAAGCCCCGGCUAACUACGUGCCAGCCGCCGCGGUAA
rnacentral:rRNA from 1 species